CCCUGUUCCCAGUCGCUCACCCCACCCUCUCCUUCCCAGCCGCUCGCGCCGCCCCGUUCAUCUCACGCGCGUGCCAAGGUCUCCGAGCGCCACCAAGUCCUGGUUAUCCUCUGGCCGAGAUCCCCCAAGCCGGCAAUGUUCCUCCCAUCCCAUAAGGAGCGCGCCACCAUCAUGAGCGCCGCCGCCCACCGCAGCAUCCAUACUUCCUCCCUCCCCGAGUUCCCCGGCGCGAGGCCCUGAUUCCUACUAGCCCUACGAGCUGCUGCGCCUUUAGCUCGACGAGCGCACCUGUGAGCUGAUGCGCUAGGGCCUCGACCAACUACGGUACCGUGCUAUUCGUAGAGAGGUUCAACCCCGACGCACGCGGUUCCGGCGUCUCGCCCCGGCAGCAGAUCCAGGGAUGGGGCUCAUCUCCAGGGAUGCAGCGCAAUGCGGAAGAGCAGGAAAUCAUCUCCAGGGAUCGGAGGGACUGCCGGAACUAUGACCAGAUCGCCAACCUCGCUAAGAGGAUGGGGCUUUACAGGUCCCACUGCCGAACUACAGGCCAGACCUGAACGACAAGCGUCCAUAGAGAGAGGUGGUGAUCCCGUCAGAGAAGGGUUGAAGGACUUGUACAGGAGCACCUUGACUGUGCGCUCUUGCCAUUUCAUAAAGAUGGUGGCAAGACAGAAAGUGGUUCCGAGAAAACUGAGCCUGUGAACUUGGAUGAGAGGCAGGAUCCUCUGCUCGACCAGUCGGUCAUGGAGAAGGUCCUUCGGAUGAAGAGUAUUCGGAUGUGCAAUUUUCAACGAAGUUGGCCGAUAUGAUGAACUCUAAAGAGUAGCUGAAUGCCAUAUAGCUUUAUAUAUGUUACAGGAAAGAAACAAAGGAUGAUUUGCAAAUAACCUUCUGCAGCAUUUCUUAUAUGUUCCUUCAUAUUUAUAUUUAUUUAUGCGAGCUGAUUAUUCAUGGACAUAUUGGAUGAAGCUUUUAUCUGCUUGUAAUAACAGGAAUCACCUGAAGGUGGUAAGAUGGUAGAAUUUCGGAAAUCCCUCCCAGCAUACAAGGAUAAGGAAAGGCUUCUAGCAGCCGUUGCACGUAAUCAGGUUAUAGUUAUUUCGGGAGAGACGGGGUGUAACAAUAGAAACUUGCAGUUCAGGUAUUUUUUCUUUUAUUACAUCGAUUGUAACAUUAUUAUUGGAAUAUCUCAUUUUUCUGAUAAACAUAGCAAAUCAGCUGAUUCAAAUUAGUAAUAAUGAUUUGGGUACAGAGCUUAUACAUACUUACAUAGCCUCUCCAAACACGAUGAGGUAAUUUUUUAUGCUUGGUUGAUUGCUCACUGAGAUACUCGGGUACACGCGGAGAUGCAAAUGCUUCAGUGGCCAUCGUCAUCUUAAGUUGCUCUGAAUAUUUGGUGAUAUCCCUGUGUCUUUUCUGCAAGUUCGCUUAUCUGAACUCAAUGCAAAAUUCAUUUUUUUUAUCCUAAUGUUGUUGUUGUUUAGUCUCCUUGUCCAAUUUACUAUUCUCAAUUGAGGUAGAUGAUUUUCUACAGUUUAUUAGUCUCCUUGUCCAAAUUACUAUUCUCUCUUUCUGCUUUGAUUCUUUUAGGUUGGGAUAAAUGCAUGGAGUCAAGUUUCUCUUUGGUUUUGUUGAUUCACGCUGAAAGAAAGUUCCAUCAUUCAACUGCAUCUUGCUUGUGAGUUAGUAUCCUUUGUGACUUCCUUUUCUGAAAUAGCCUUCUCACAUAGCAAAGAUUGUAGAUUUCUGUUCCAUCUGUAGUCACAAGAAACAAUGUGCACAUGUUUUCUAAUACCACCACUUCAUACCUAUUUCAGCGACAAGAAAUGUUCAUGAAGUUUGAGGGCUACAUGAAUUGUGAAAUUGGUCCAAUGCAGUUUCAUCAAUUGCUAAUAUUCAAUGCAGUGUCGUUUUUUUAACAGUUCAUGCUUUCCAUUUUCUUCUUACUGAACAGUGUAUUCAACUUUGUUGUACUUUGGGGUAUUAGCUAAUCCAACAUGGUACAAUAAUGAGAAUGGAUAGUCGCUAGAAGAGAAACUGUAAGAAAAACUUAGUAUGGUGAAUAUGGUGUUCUGUCUGAUAGAUUAAAGUUUAAAGGAAAGUACAUGUGGAAUCCAUCGGCUUUAAGGAAAAUACAGUGGAAAACCAUCUCGAAUUGGAGGUUGAAUGAACACGUCUCUUCUAAUUUUCCACUAUAGUACACCAAAAGGUUGUCAAGGAUUAAAUUUAGAUUAACAAAGGUUGGGCAUUCAAAAGAAGGGAGAAUGAAGAUACUCUUGCAAAAAAAGGUUGGGUAUUUCAGAUGGUUUAAUUUAAUUAGGUUUAUUGAUAAAGAACAAGGCAAAAAAAUUAGAUUAACAAAGGUUUCUGAAGUGAAAGAAUGAUUUACACGGCUUGUAAAUUUGAGUUGUUGUAGAAAGCUAAUUCUGAGCAGAAUUUGACUUCUUUUCUUUUAAGAAAAGGCUCAGAUACAUGGAGAGAUCCCGAACUAUGAACUUCUAGAUAUUUGUGUCAAUGCUCUCUUGGUCAAUGAGAGGUGGUAGGUUUGUGGAACACCAAUGUCGUUGAGCCUAUAUAAUGAUUUAUAUUAGUUAUGCAGCUGAUAAACAUAAUUUACAGUGGAAGCUUAUUCAUUAUUUUUUCGUAUUUCAUCAUUAUGCUUGUUGCACAUAAUUUAUGGAUACUUGCAUUUUCUUAUCCUUUUCAAUUUUUAAAUCUGUUUUCCUGAUGAAGUUUUAGUUUGCCAAAAGACAUGGAGCUCUAUAUGACUAUAUCAUCAAGGUAAAUAACUCAACUUUUUUUGUUAAGUACUCUAAAUUGCUUCAAUAACUGUUUUAGCUUUGUAGUAUAACAUAUUUGCAUGCCACUUCAUUGUCUUGUAGUCCUGCUUACCUCAAGGUCAAUGUUAUAUCAUUUAUCUCAUCAAUACCUGAAGCGUCCAGGCCUAGGUGCCGGUGGAAGCCAAGGGACGAACGGCGAGGCGGCAGUGUGGUCACGCUCGCCAAGAGCCUCACUGAUUUUCUGGCCCGUACCAGAGCCACUACUCCGCCGCCCCAUCAGUGCUCCUCCUCCCUAGGACCGGGCCAUGUAUGACAAGGGAAGAAAUUGCUCCUUCCACUGUGUCAGGUUCAGUCAACACCACCAUCUUGGUCCACUGGUUGUAAGGAGUGCAUGUAUUGCUUUCUUAGAUCGUAGUGUCUGUCACUUUUAAACUUGUCAAGUUCAGCGCUAUUUUUGGUAGAGUUCAGGCUUGAUGCUGACUAUUUGUUGUAUUAAUACUUUUAUGGUGAAUCGAGAAAAACUUCAGUCCACAUUGCGUUGAUGCAGCAGAUAUUCUCAAAAAAGAAAAGAUUGUGCAUUAUAUUAUAAA